UGCGCUACAAUGCUAAUGCUACACAUGACGACAGCGUACGAUGAGAUGUCCAGUUAUAGCGUCUAAGAAGUCCAAACCUUUUAGCUGAGUUCACGGACCAAAGGCCACCAGUAAUAAUUUUUACAGAAUCAGUAAUUUGUAAACUGUCAUGAUUUCUGGACCUCUGGAGUGUAGCGGUCAAAAGCUAUAUGUUAUACAAUUAUGAUUCAAAUUGCUCGUCGGCGGAACUUACGUAAAAAUACACAUAAUGCACGUAUAACCAUGGAUCACGAAAAUUACGUUCUAAUAGGUGGAUCUAUUGUUUUGGUGACUGUUUUGUGAAAUGACGGAGAAGACAUGUAUACAGAACAGAACUUACAAACCCGCUGUUCGGUUUAAAGCUCAUGUAGUCUGUUGACCCGUUAGUUACAUUAUGCAAAGAGUAUAAACGCGGUAAUACGAAAAUAAUAAUCCUUACAGGUUGCAUAUAAAUGAAUAUCGGCACCAAAAGUAUAGGACUUGAUGAUUAUCGUGAAUACAGCAUAAUACAUUUGUGUUUACCUACGUUAUUGUAGCUGUGAAGAAGGCAAACAGGAGGCGACCAACAUUCAAAAUUCAAAUAUAAGUAAUUGAGUGUUCACAGAUUAGUGUAUGGAAAAAAACAACAACAUGGAGAACUAAAUGCGGCGCCCAAUGCAAGUCGGGAACGUACUAUAAUAAUACGAGGACGUACGUCGUACAUCUGUCGAAACAGCCUAUAACUAAUUUCUUAUAUACCAUCGAAAAACAAAAUUUAAACAGGUGAAUUCUCGUUUACAUAUUUUAUAUUAGCAAUUAGCGUUGAUUUGUGACAAUUUGAAAUAUCA